GUGUCUGUGAGCCCUGCUGAGGCGGUGGAGGAGAUGAAGACCCGUCUGCAGCUGAAGGAGCGUCUGCUGCAGGAGCUCCUGUCCGAUCGCAGCCGGCAGGUUCAGGAGCACCAGGCACAGGUCCAGGACCUGCUCAACACAAUCAGUUCCAGAGACCAGUACAUCCAGGACUCUGCCAACAGAUUGGGGCAGGUUAUUGGGGAGCAGACGGGGCAGGUGCAACACCUACGGCAGCAGCUGCUGUCCCGGGAGCGUGAGCUGGCCGAGCUGAGUCGGGAGCGGGAGCGGGAGCGGGAGAGAGCUGAGCCAGUCACCAGAGAGCUGGAGAGAGUGCAGAACCUGCUCAAGGAGAAAGAGGCCUUCCUUCAGGAGCUGAUGCAGGGCCAGGAGGAGUCCAUGGGGAUCAGCAGUGGCAGGAGCUCAGAGGAACAGCAGGAGAACAGAGCCCUCAAAGAGGAGCUACAACUGGCCCUCAAGAAGCUCAGAGAGAACCAGGUGGAACUGACUGCACUGAGAUCCUCACUGGCCUCCAGACAGGAUCUCCAGAGAGAGAGUCAGCAGACUUUCUUGGAGCAGCUAGUCUCGGACUACAACGGGCUGAAUGAGGCUUUGAGAGCUGAAAAGAAGCUCUAUCAGAACCUGGUCCAGAUGCAGAGCAGCCAGGACAGCGCAGAGAGGCUGCGGGUGCUGCACACAGAGCUGGACACCGUUCAGGCACUGAGAGGGCAGCUAGAGGAGGUCCUGAUGAGGACCCGAGAGACCGCCCUGGUGAUGGAAAAAGCCAAUAAGACGCAGGCUGACUUUGGAGGUGGGGACGGGCAGAGUGUUGGUCAACUAAGGGGACCACAUGGGGCGCCUGUGACUAAUUCUAAUGAAAGUGUGUUGCACCAAGAUGUGCUGUAGGCAACCACUAAUACUAACCGGGAGAGUGUGUAGGGACAAAGGAGUGGCUGAUGGUACGGCUGACUAAAGUGACAAUGUGCAAAGUGUUUCUAAGUUAUUUAAUUUAUUUUGUAUGAAUGUGUGUGUUUUUUUUUUUUUUUUUGCAAGCUGUCUGCUUAAUGGUUUCACUGCAAGAGUUCAGUUGAUUUUUGUUUACCAUUUUGGUGUAUUUGGUUUCUUGUGUAAAUGUCUGCAGCCUUUUCUUGUCUUAAGUGGCGUGGUGUGUAGUGUGGCACAUCCAUCUUUGAGUUUGGUCAUGACUGUUUACAGAAAACACACUCUAUCUGUCUCUCUCUGUCUGUCUUUCACACUAUAUCUGUCUCUCUCUGUCUGUCUUUCACACUCUAUCUGUCUCUCUUUGUCUUUCUUUUCUGUCUGUUCCUUGACCCCCCCCCCCCCCUUCUCUCUUAUACACUGUCUUACUCACUUUCUCUCAAACACAUACAUACAUACAGACAUACACACGCAUGUGCGCGCACACACACACACACACACACACAGAUAUGAGGCUUCUUUUUAAGAAAUGAAGAACAUGUGUUGCCAAAGGCAGCAGAUUCCAUAACAGAUCUAUGCAGUGCAUCUGCUAGUGAGCCAGUUUAAUGUGAGCGCAGCACACCAGUGCUUUAGUAGUCAAUGCUACCCACUUUCACUUGAAGGGGGGGAACUUACCAGCAGGUUUCACGUAAGAUUUUACAGUUUCAUUACUAAAUCACUUGAUGCCUUAAUUGAACAAUAUUAGCACUCUCACCUUAUUAGGAUCUGAAAUUUGAAACUGAAAAAAGAUGCUCUAAAACCUCCUGGUGAGACCCUUUCAAGAGCGGAGUCAGUAGCUGUCCUGUGGCCUAAGCUUUUACCAGAACGCCUCAGUAGACAGUUUGAUUUCAUCUGACCAAGGGAUCAUGCUUGAAAAUAGGAGCUGUUACUCACUCUCAAUCCAUGGCUAUUUUGUGAGCUGUGCAAGGCCAAUAUCUGUAUGAUCAUUCGUUUUAAACUCUGUGUUGUAGCUGCCAGUCUUAAGGUAAUAAGCAUGCAUGAAGGUAUAGUAAAGGUGUACGUGUUUUCCUUCUACCAUCGCUCAUUGUGACUCAGUGGUUCAUUUAUGUAGUUGACCUCGUUCCUUGUCCUCUCAUCUCUCAGAUAAACGUUGAGAAAACAGCGAAAGAGGUAGAACAACGCUGUAUGGUUAGGUGCCAUUUGAGAUGGGCUUUCGUUCGUCACUUUUUCACUCACUGUAGACCUCAUCCUGGGAAUAAAAGUAAAAAGAGGACCA
rnacentral:lncRNA from 1 species